UUAACGGCCGCGGUAUCCUGACCGUGCGAAGGUAGCGUAAUCAUUUGUCUUUUAAAUAGAGACCUGUAUGAAUGGCAUAACGAGGGUUUAACUGUCUCCUUCCCCUAGUCAAUGAAAUUGAUCUGCCCGUGCAGAAGCGGACAUAAACACAUAAGACGAGAAGACCCUAUGGAGCUUUAGACAAAAGAUCAAACAUGUAAAGAAACCAAACCAACCAAAAGGAACACGAAGGCCACAAAACCCAACGUAAACUGAUCUAAAUGUCUUCGGUUGGGGCGACCAUGGGGGAAAGAAAAGCCCCCACGAGGAACAGGGACAACCCCUAAACUAAGAGAGACACCUCUAAGCAACAGAAAAUCUGACCAAAAUGACCCAGGAUACUAAUCCUGAUCAACGAACCAAGUUACCCUAGGGAUAACAGCGCAAUCCUUUCCCAGAGUCCAUAUC
rnacentral:rRNA from 1 species